GAUGAACGCUGGCGGCGUGCCUAAUACAUGCAAGUCGAGCGAACGGACGAGAAGCUUGCUUCUCUGAUGUUAGCGGCGGACGGGUGAGUAACACGUGGAUAACCUACCUAUAAGACUGGGAUAACUUCGGGAAACCGGAGCUAAUACCGGAUAAUAUUUUGAACCGCAUGGUUCAAAAGUGAAAGACGGUCUUGCUGUCACUUAUCGAUGGAUCCGCGCUGCAUUAGCUAGUUGGUAAGGUAACGGCUUACCAAGGCAACGAUGCAUAGCCGACCUGAGAGGGUGAUCGGCCACGCUGGAACUGAGACACGGUCCAGACUACUACGGGAGGCAGCAGUAGGGAAUCUUCCGCAAUGGGCGAAAGCCUGACGGAGCAACGACGCGUGAGUGAUGAAGGUCUUCGGAUCGUAAAACUCUGUUAUUAGGGAAGAACAUAUGUGUAAGUAACUGUGCACAUCUUGACGGUACCGAAUCAGAAAGCCACGGCUAACUACGUG
rnacentral:rRNA from 1 species